rnacentral:piRNA from 1 species
UCAGAUGAUGCUUUGGCGUUCUCUGC